AGUGUUGUGCCGCGACCGUAUUACAGACGAAACAUUCACUACCAGUGGGCUGAAUAUUAUUGUUUAUGAAUUGAUUAAGAUCGUGAUUAUUGUUUUCAUGCCAUUUUAAAUACUACAGAAGAAGGAAAAUUACAAAAAAAUAAUAUUGAUUACACAUUUUACUAUCAAUAUCUAGAUUAUCCAACAUGAAUUCUGAGAAACCUGAGUGUCGAGGGAGUCUGAGGCGAGGCGGGCGACUGGGAGGGCGAAGGCACGCGACUUCGCUCGCGUCGAGGCUGCUUGAACCACUCAGGAUAUAUAGCACUCAAAGUCUCUACCAAAUCGUGGUCCAAUGUCACGCGCCAAGACGCGCGGCCCUCAGAGCCCUCCGACCCUCCGCUUCCACCGCACGACGAACGGCUUUCUAAAAUAAUUUAAUACAUUUUAUUUUCUACAUA